CUGGGCAGCGGGCCCAAGAGAGGCCCCCUCCCUUCUGGGGGCUGCUGUGGGCAGGGCAGCGAGCUGCGUGGCAGUUAGAGAAAACUGGCUGAGGAGGCUGCCAAAACCAGGCCCAGACCACAGAGGAGCAAUCAGUCAAAGCAGGCCUUGGGCAGGCUUCCCGGGCUCCCGCCUCCGUCCAGGCUGGCCGCUGCACACUGAUAAGUGGCUCUUUUGAAAUGAAAAAAAAAGUUGUAAUUACAAGUCUAAGCGGCCGCUCAAUGGCAGGGUCUCUGUCCCACAGGACACGGCAGGAGGAAAGUGAAGGAAGCCCAGGCAUGUGGUCCCACGCAGCGCCUUGAUGGAGCCCUGGGCGGUCUCCCUCUCUGCCAGAAGCGGCCGCAGUCCCCCUGGAGGGCGGCCCCCUGCCCUGGGCCCCCCUCCACCCGCUGCAGGCCCCCGGCCCCCCACAGGGCCACGGGCGCUAAGCAGGUGGGCAGCAGACCAGCCAAGUGCGGGCGCGCACACACCAGCCCCCCAGCCUGAGAGCAGGAACCGCUGGCCCCGUUCCCGCAGUUCCCCAAGGGGUCCUGCUUCUCACGGCCCUGAUGCCCUGCUCUUCUGCUGACAGUUCCGACUCCCCCCAGCUUCCCACAGGUUCUUACUGGAGUCUGGUCUGUGCCCUCUCAGACCUGCGCUCUUUCCACUCUGCCGACCAUGGCUUCAGGAGGAGAACGGUGACCCCAAACACCUUGGCGAAGGCUGGAGCAGCCACCGUGCCUUCGAAGAUGCAUCUUCUGGGCUGUGACACCGUCACUUCUCUCGCCAUCAGGCCACCGUUUCCUUUCCUCAAAAUCAGAAGGCAGCCCAGAAUCCUGUGACUUCUAUUUAGCAAAUCCCAUAAGUAAAAUGCUAUCGCUGGGUGGUUCAGAUGUAAACACUGGACGAUGGGAAGAUGUUUAUGAUUCACGAUUACAUGAAAAAGAGAGGAGAAAGAACUAUACUUAGGGUACAAUGAAAACUGCCCCCUAACCGAAAAAAAGCCCUACAUAGAGAUAGUAUGGAAGAAAAUAUUUUGAUUGGAAUGACUCUAAGUGAUUUUUCCUCACUUUUGUGUAUUUUUAAAGUUUUCUUUAAUGAGUAUAAUUCUAAAACAAACAAAAAUGAUAGCAUCCUUCCUGAGUCCUGGCCCUAACAGCUACAGAGAGGGGUACAGCGUGGAGAAACGAAACGCUUCCUCCUCAUUUCCUUAGAAGCAGGCUGACAACAGAAGGGUCCGGGCCCCAUUCCCAGGAACAGCUGCAGAGCAGAGAAUUGUGAAGCAUUCCCUCACAACCACCUGGGAAUGGAGUCGGCCCUGUUCUCAGGCUUGUUUUGCAGAUGAGGAAACUAGGCUUGGAGAAGCUCCAUAACCAGCCAGAGUCAACAGCAAGCGAGGGAUGGAGCUCAGUGCUCCCAUUUCCACCCGCCAGCUGGCAGGACCACAGGGGCCUCAUGUGAUCUUCCUAAGUCCUGCCUGUCCAUCCCCCAUCCUCCUGCAGGGGUGGAGUUCGUGGUGCCCAGGACUGGGUUUUACUGCAAGCUGUGCGGGCUGUUCUACACGAGCGAGGAGAUGGCGAAGAUAAGCCACUGUCGCAGUGCUGUCCACUACAGGAACUUACAGAAGUACUUGUCCCAGCUGGCCGAGGAGGGCCUGAAGGAGACCGAGGGGGCCGGCAGCCCCAGGCCUGAGGAGGGCAGAGUCGUGCUGCACUUUGAGAGGAAGAAGCCUUGAUGCUGCUGGAACCGAGGUGGGGCCUUCCUGACCUCGGUGACGGAAGCUAAAGCCAGAGAGGAAGGAAAGCCAGGCCAGCGUGUUGCCUCGGCUCGUCCUCGGAGACUUGUGAAAAUGCCCUUCAAUUGUCUCCUCAGUGAAGCUGUCACCUGAUGUGUCCAGCAGCUGAGGGUCACCCUCUCUCCCCCCACCUCCCUGAUUCUUGUUUCCUUCAAUCUGCUUCUCUCUUCUUCCCCCUCCCUCCCUCUCUCUCACCUCCUGUGCCAAGGGUCAUUUAUUUUUCAUAAAAUCCAACUUCUCAGGGAUUUUCACGGUGUUCAAAUUCUUGAUGGGACAGGACAGGUCAGGCCAAGGAAGAGCUCUCACGGAAACUCCCGGGUCAAGACCCACUUUGGGGGGCCUGGAGCGUUUUCUGUGCCUGGCGUCCUGAGCCGGGGGAGUUGUCGGGUCGUGCAGGCCUGAAGGGGGUGCCCCCUAGACCAGCAGUUGGCAGAAGCUGGGAGUUCCUCCAGCGGGACCAUCUUUUUGAAAAGCCCCCGUUUCUAAUAACUCUUUCAACCUCUCAGUUCCUCUAGAAGUCCACCAGAUGCAUGCCUUAACAUAAAAGCAAUGACUUUCACCGAGGAGGAAACGAGCUCUUCAUUUUGGAAGCUCUAUUAAGUCCUCCCCGCCCCCCAAACUUAUUUCCAUCCUCAGGAUUUCAGGAGGUGCCAAGCUUUGUUCUGUUCUGGACAAUGAAUUUGGUAUAGAUUCACUUCAAUUAAAAAUGAAAACAGUAGUGUCUUCUCCCUUCCGCCAGAACAAUAGUUGGUACGGGCUUGGGUCGAAUGCUGGCUUCCCAGCCCCGUGUGGCACUGGCUCAAGAGACCCCAAAACAGGGCAAUGGCAUCUGUCCUCGACUCGCUCCUGGUGCCUGCGCUCUGGGCUCCAGCAGCCUCUCAGUGGGAUAGUUUUUAAACUGGUCUCUCAGUGGAGAGAGAAACUAAGGGAAGAGCAAGGCUGCAGGAGUGAGGAGCAGCAUUUGAGGAUUGCCAGGAAUUGGUAGGUGGGCAGGAGGUCGAGGGCAUUUCAGAGGACCCCUGUGUGCACACCUGGGUGUUGAAUGUCAUGAAGAACAGAACUCUUCUUCCUGUAGCGUUUUCUGAUACUGGAGGUGAGUGCCUUCAGGCCCCAGACUAGAGAGUCUGAUGUUCCCCUGGGAGCGUUUGGGACAGAGGUGCUGGGGGGACAUGAGGCUUGCUCACAGCCCCGAGGAAGACCUCAAGAAGGUCAGAGGGGAGCCUUGUGCUGUUUCCACAAGCUGAGCUACUUCCCUGGCUCAGCCCUGGGAAGAUGGUUCCUGUGUUUCUAUUCCUGACCGCAGAUAGAUAGACUAGGAAGGGAUUGUUUGUUUUAUAUUAUUUUUUGCAUUUUUUAUAGUAGAUCAGAUUUUUUUUGUGGUAGAUAUGUAUACUGCACAUUCUGCCCUCUGCACUAAUGGCAGAAGAAUAGAGAAAUUAUCUGAGUUCGACACUGACAUUUUAUCAGUGAAUCUGAGGCACAGAGAAGGAAGAAAUGUAGGACAUAAAAUGAUCUUGUGUAAACCUCGGGCACAUGGUUACUGGUGAGGAGAGAGUUGCAGGGAACCUGCGAAAGAGAACAGAGAAGGCCAGCACCGGAGGCCAACCAGCCAGCCUGGGCUCGCGCCGUCAGGGGCUGGAGGAAGCGGGAAGCCUGACCGCGGUGUGAGGCCAUCCGGGGGCCUCGGAAAGGUUGGUGUCUCAAAGAGAGUGGGCUCUGAAGAUGGCAGCUCAGCUCAAGCUGCCUCCACAGGUUUUUACCUGAUGUUCUGGAGACCGGCCUCCCCCAUUUCUGGGAAAACCUCUGGCCCUAUUUGUCAUUCUUCCCACUCAGGGGAUGUCCAGGGCCAGCUCUCUGGGCACCUUGCUGGGAAGAGCCUAUCACCUCCACCGGAGGCUGGAACUGAGCAUUUUCAGAGAGGCUGGCAGUCUUUUCUUCCCGCAAAGUGAAAGCCGACCCCACCAGCCCGCCCCCCCCUCCCCCCCCAGCACCGUUUCCAUGGAAAUCAGGAUGGCUGUUCAAACAGCCUCAUUCCCAAGUAAUGGGAUGGUUCCCUUGCUGAUAGACUGACCUUCUCCAUACUGGACAGCUGGUGAGAGCCCCUGGGAGGGAUCGAGCAGAGGCUCUCUGCAUCCAAUCAGAGCCUUCACUUUAAAAAUCAUCUAAGAUUCUGCAUCUGUGUAUAUAUUUGUAUUUAUUUGUAUUUAUUUUUAUACAAUCCCAUUGGCAUGGUCCUUCACCCACUCUAUAAUUUGCACUUUUUAUUCCUACAUGUGUCGUACACAAAGCAAUAUUACAGGCAACCAGGAAAAUACGGACUUAUUUUUUAAAGCUUUUCUUCAGUGUUUGUCAACGAUUUCAAAAUGUCUUCCCCAAGAGCUUGUUUAAGAGCAUCUGCUACCGUGAGCAACAGAUUCAUUUGUACCCUGGGUUAAGGUAACAAAAGGCCUAGGUAAUUUUCUUUUCAUCAUAAAACACCUAAAAUAAAGUAUAUACAGGCAGUAUUCCCAAAGAAUUUGGUAGAUUUGGUGUUGGUGUGAGGACAGCCAUUACUGUCCCUUCCUUGGACAGUCUGAGGCUGUGAUCUGUUAGAUUGUACUCGAACUGGACCAGAGUUUGCUUUUUGAGCUUAUGAGAAACAAACACUAGUUAAUUUAAGUUUGAACUUGUAAAGUAUUAGAAUUUGUUGAGUGUCUUAUAAAUCGUCAUCACUUUUCCUGAUCUGUAUAAUUGACCGCAAGUGUUUGUUUUUACAAAAGGAAAAAAAAAAAGGAUUUUUAAUAAAGAGAAUUUGAAAGCUU